AGAAAAACCAAAUGCUAUGUCAUUUAGCCUGCUAAAGCCGGCUAUAACCCGUUAAAUACCGGCUAUAGCCCGCUAAACGUCGUAGCGGCAGCUCUGCCGCUAAACAUUCUAGCCGGCGAUUUAAAACCUUGCUUGCGGCGCGUGCUCCCAAGCCAAGCGACGGUGGAGGCUCCCGUUGUACGGCGCGCUGCGUGGAGACGGCGGAGGUAGGGAUCCCGUGCGCGCGCGGAGGAGGAAUCGAUUGCCGCCAAAGGCACAGAAGGGCGCGGCGGCGGCGGCGAUGCGAAAUCAGUUAAAGGUAGAUGCCGCUCGGGUGAAGGCGGCUGCAGCUCGGAAGGAUGCGGCGCAGCUGCCGGAGCAGAGGAGCUCGUGCAAGGCGAUGCAUCUGCCGGAGCAGUUGAGGCCCGCGCGGAGGAGGGCCUGUGGGUGGAUGUGGCGCAGCUAAUCCACCAUCCUUGUUCACGGAUGCAAGCUGCUUGUUCAACUCUCAACCAUGGGUUCUUUUCCAAUCUUCAGAUCCUGGGACAUGGUAUUGUCUUCUGCUUCAUUCUUCUGAUGUAUGUCUGCUAGUUCAUUCUUUUCUUCCCUUUACGACAUGGUAUUGUCUCCUGCUUCAUUCUUGAUGCAUGCUUUGGUCAAUAUGUAUGCUGCUUCAAAAUUACGGUUAACAAUUGUUGAGCAUUUCAGUUCAGAAAGGCACUGAACACUGCAAAAUCUGAGUUGGAGGACAAAAUUAUCAACAGAUUUGAAGUUUCAAAGCUUAUAAUGCUUAUAAAGUAGCAUUGUUUGAGACAAGAAAUUCCAAUCCUUUACUUGGAUAAUUCUGAAAUAGAGUUCUUUUUUAGUAUUACUCAUUAGGAUGCACACACAUCCUCCUAAUUGUUCCACAAAAAUUGCACAAGGUGCUAGUUUGUUUUCAUUGUCACUGAAAGUCUGAAACUAACAUGAACACUUCCUCCAGCAUGCUACUGAACUUGUCUGCAUUGGUUAUGAAAGUGAGAUACUGAUGCUCUGACUGACAAGAUUUUUGACAUGUUAAACAAAUGCGUCUGGAAUGCAAAGUUGGCAACUCUAUGUUGACCUGCUAGCAGAAUUAGUGAAUUACAGUUGCAUCAAUGUUAGCAUUUGCUCAGAUGUGUAAAACUAAACAGACUGCAAUGCCUGAAUAUGUAAAUGUUCAGAGUUCAGACCAUGCCUUUGCUGAAACAUACUAGCAAUUGAUGAGGUACAGGACCUCACAUGCCAAUUCACUAAUACUUAGCGCUGUCAAUUGGCAGUGUUCCUAGGCAGCAAGCAUUUGUCGUAUUUUACUAAUAUGAUUAACAUAAGCUUAAAGAUUUAGGUACAAAGUAAUAUUUGUCAAUCAUAUAUAAAAAAUUUAGACAGUAGCGAAGAAGAGCAUAGCUUGGAUAUGAAGUCUGACCAUGCAAGAACAAGGUGAGGCUGCCCUUGGGCAUGUAAUCGAAGACGAGCAGCUUCUCCCUGAGGCGCUCGAAGCCCUCGGAGUCCUUGUAAUGACUGCUAGUUGUUAUCAUGAAUAUUUCAAAUACUUGUCGAAGUUCAGGGAAGAACUCUCAGUAAUGACUGCUAGUUGUUAUCAUGAUUGUUAAUUUGAGCAUCAUGUUUACUGAAUAAAUUUGGGCUAAAGAGCAGAACAUGAUUUAUACAAAAGCUGUCAGAUUGCUUUUGAGGUUAGUUAUUUUCAAAUAAUACUUUUACUGUAGCUGAUCUUAUCUUGCUGAAUUAGUCAUGAUUAUUUCAUUGCAGGUGAGGACAGUUUCAGACAUGGGGAACUAGUCCUUAUUUCUUUUGUUUGAACUGAUGGCUGUUGAUAUGUCGUACCUAAAUUUAUUUUGUAUGAACUGAUGGUUAUUGGUGUGCCUACCUAAAUUUAUUUUGUAUGAACUGAAGGGUUGUAGGCAAGUUUUAUAGGACAACAAUUCGUCCGGCGAUGUUA